AGUGGAGACCUGGUUAAUCCCACCUCCUCUGCCACUCAGCCAGGACAAUGAGAAAAACCCAGCGGCUGCUCCGUCCACGCCUCUCAGAGCAGCUCUGAAGAGCUCUGUCAUCGAGCGCGAGCGUACAAGGAGAAAGCGCAGCCCAGCCAGCCAGCCAGAGAACGUGAAGGAACAGCCCGGCAAUGCUAAGGAAGUAGUCCCUUUGGCUCUAUCUUCGCACCAGCGCGGCUUUCGACCUUUCCUCAACAUAUGGGAGGACGCGAGUCUUAGGUGCAGCCGGCCUGUCUUGUGGCGCCCAGAAUGACAGACUGCAGCUCUUCGCUGCUAGUGGCACUGGCCAUGUGGGAAAACGAAACUAAUUUGACCCAGACGGAAGUCUCAUGGGCAGAAGCCAAGUUCGGCUUCAACAGUGACUCUGCCUAUUCUCCCUGAAAAGUGCCCAGAAAACGGAGUGUGCGGCAAAACAAACAGAGAGCUGCAGUCACCUGUUUACUUUUUUUUUUAAUCAUUACUGAAAGCUCGCAUAGCCGGCCAUAUUCAGCCUCAGCAAAAGCCCCCGUCGCGGCCAAGAUUUGGCAUCAAGGCGAUAACGUAAUGGACAUGACCCUGGCACCACCACCACCACCAUGAGCGGCAGACACUCUCCGCGCGGACCAUGUCCCAUGUUUUUUUAAGGUAUAUCUUUGGGAUUCUGCCAGUGUUCCUAGCUCUGGUGCCAGAUGAUUCAUCCGCUUCCAUCAAUAAAAUCCGGGCAGGUUAUACAAAUGUUCUGUUCCCCAACAUACAGAAACUGGAGACGAUGAUUGGGCAAUGUGCUGAAUUUACACAGUGUAACACCAGCGUCUGCAGUUCAACUAAGGUGAAUAUAACUGGACAAGACAUUUUCUGCAAUUCAUCUAUGAUAUAUUUUGGACUACUGAAGUUUCUGAACCAUCUUCAAAGGCAGCCCCAUCAGAAGCACAUUACGUAGUCUAAUUUGGAGAGGAGAACCAUUCAUAAAAUGGCAUGCUAUCUUAGAAAAAUGACCCAGGAAUGUAACCUCACUGACGACUUAAAGAAAAACAUGGACGCUGUUUCAGGGCUGACAUUGAAUCUGCUCGAGGUCUGUAACAACCCCACUCGUCCAAAACAACAAAAAGAAGACUCUUGUCAAGAUAUAAAGGGUGUCAGAAAUUUUUGUCAUGCAUGUUUUAGAAGCUGGUGUCAUACAUGUUGCAGAAAGAAAGUAGUUUCCCAAUUUAUGUCAUGUUGGUUUAAGGUAAUGUUGGAUUCAGGUUAAGACUGUUGCAACUAAGUGAAGCUUUACAAACUAAACAAUGCUCUGGUUUUUCAGUGCACAACCAGAAAACUAUGCAUUGCAACUUUCUCCUCUCUGCUUAUCCAAAUAUUCCGUGCCAAGUCCCCAAGAAGACUGGUGUACUUUUGUUCCUGGGAGAGGGCAUGAAGGACAAAAGUGGAAGUUUGUAAUCUGAACACUCCAUGUCUCAAGGAAGCUUUCAACACAAUUGGGAGCAGACAAAUGGAAUGGAGAACUGCAAUCUGCACUUCAUUAGUCCUUAAAAUCUGUACAUAACCUUUAAAAUACAUAUUUUGAACAUACAACUAUUUUAUCUUUAAUACAAGAAACAAUGCAGCACUUUAAAAUUACAAAUAAUUUUGUAUUUUUAUACAUUUUUUAAAGUCAUUAAGAGGGGUUCCUAGGUAAUUAUUACUAAUACUGUACUUAUGAAUUUCAUGUAUGUUAGGAUCAAUGGUAGGCUGGGAGGGAGGAAGCUGAUGUAAGAUUGAGAUGAUUUAGGGCACAAUCCAACUUGUGUUUUACACUGGGUUGAGGAGACUUGGAUAUAGUGGACCCCUAGUUGAACCAGCAGGGUCUAGGCUUUGCCGGCAGAAGCCCCUUGCCCCAGCCCAGCAGAAGAGGUGUCAGCAGAAGCUGUUGUAAAGCCUGAAAAAGGGGCAUUCUGGGGGCAUCUUGGAGGAGGGACUGAGGGGGGACUUAAGUGACAUCCAGCUCAUGUUUUGAGCAUUCCUGCAGGUCCCGAUUGGGCCAAAGUUAACACCAGGAAAAAGGUCGGUCUAAGAAAAUGAUUACAAUGGAAGUAUAUGGAAAGUGCUUACUCCCCAGUAGGAGUAUUUGUGAAAGCUGGCUUUUACUUUACAGUCUAUGCUCAGCUGGCCUGCUGGCUCCCAAACAUAACAUGGAAGCUACAUUCCUGCCAGCCCCCCUUGUCAUGAGUUGGAUUGCUCUGAUCAGCUGCAAUUGAAUACAUGUCUACUCAGAAGUAAGCUCCACUGGGUUCAAUGGCACUUACUCCCAGGUAAGUGUGUAUUGGAUUGCAGCCUUCAUUUGGGGAUUUAUAGUAAAAAUGUGUGGGUACUUCUAGGAGUAAAUACUGAAUAUGAGAAGAGCACCAUUGUUAUGUAGAAGGGCGAUAGGUUCUUGCAAGAAUACUCAGGAAUUGCUCAAAUUUGGGGUUGACUUCUUGGGUGCAAGCCAUUUAAUGCAAUAAGCAGUCAUGGCAUACUGGCAUUUUACAGAUAGACUGAUUUAAUUUAACAAAUGCUUUUAUAUUUGUCAAAUAUUAAAAGUGCAGUUAUGGAAAACUUAUUGUCUAGUAUUAAAGAAUCUAUAUUGCUGUCUUACAUGUGUUAAGAGUUUUAAUAAUGUUUAGUCAUAGUGUAUUCCAGUAUUAGCCAUGGGAGAAAACAAGGAAUGAGAGGAAAAGGUGCCUGCCUGGUAGAAAGUUGCCAAGUCAUCUUUAAUAAUGUAGAGCCCAAAAUAUAACUAUGACCUCAUUCUCAGGGAUUAAACUACAUAAAUUUUGAAUGCUAACAAAACACAAUACAGUAUAUGUGUCCUAUAUUAUAUAAUGCAUUUUUGUUUCUAAGAAAGUGAUUCAAGUUGUAUUAAAACCUCUGUAUUCUUCCUUUACACCAAGAGCAGACCACCUUUUGUGGCCUGCCUAUUUGUGUCCCUCCCCCUGGGAUGCCCAGCCCGUUUACCAGUCUGCUUUCCUGCUCUUCUGUCUCAUCAUAGUGUUGGGUUUCUCGGUUGCCCUCAGCGAGCCUCCCUCUGUGCCCUAUGAUGUAUCUUUGUGCUGCUGUAAUAAGAAACGGGAGAACCAGCAGGAAGGCAGCCAAUUGCCUGUGUGCCCCCACCUAUGGCACUGUAAGAGUCACACUCUUGUAGAUGGGGCAUGUGUACACUUGGCAUCCAGCAACCCUACUACAGAAUGCAUAUGCCUAGAGUGGAAUGACAGUAAUAGUCUAGGCAUCAUGCUGUGGUUGAGUCAUGACUCCCUGCUGGCUUUUCUGUUUCUCUCUACAGCAUUGUGGCAGUGACAAGAAGGUACUGUAGAGAUUAAGGGCGAGGAUCACAUGUAGUCCAGUGGUUCCUGUGCUUUAGAUCUGAAUAUUAUUGUUUCAGACUUCCAAUCACUCUUAUUUAUGUACUGAUUCCAGCCAAUAAGGUAUACCAGUCCAGCUCUACAUUGUAACCAGUGAGGCAUACUAGCACUGAAAUACAGUAGAGUCUUUCAUUGUGCACUUUGUUUUGUAUUCAACAGGGUGCAUGGAGAUCUUUUGAGCAUGAGUU